GAUGAACGCUGGCGGCGUGCCUAACACAUGCAAGUCGAACGGAGUCCAGCCUUUAAGACCUUCGGGUCAAAGAGGGGAAGACUGAGUGGCGGACGGGUGAGUAACACGUGGGCAACCUGGCUCAUAGAGGGGGAUAACAGAGAGAAAUUUCUGCUAAUACCGCAUAAGCACACACUGCCGCAUGGCAGAGGGUGAAAAGAGAAUCGCUAUGAGAUGGACCCGCGUCUGAUUAGCCAGUUGGCAGGGUAAGAGCCUACCAAAGCGACGAUCAGUAGCCGAUCUGAGAGGAUGAACGGCCACAUUGGGACUGAGACACGGCCCAAACUCCUACGGGAGGCAGCAGUGGGGGAUAUUGCACAAUGGGGGGAAACCUGAUGCAGCGACGCCGCGUGAGUGAAGAAGUAUUUCGGUAUGUAAAGCUCUAUCAGCAGGGAAGAUAAUGACAGUACCUGAAUAAGAAGCCCCGGCUAACUACGUG
rnacentral:rRNA from 1 species